rnacentral:rRNA from 1 species
UCGAGAAUUUUUCACAAUGGGCGCAAGCCUGAUGGAGCGACGCCGCGUGGGGGAUGAAUGGCUUCGGCCCGUAAACCCCUGUCAUUUGCGAACAAGUUGGUUCAAUUAACACCUGAACCAUUGAUAGUAGCGAAAGAGGAAGGGACGGCUAACUCUGUGCCAGCAGCCGCGGUAAUACAGAGGUCCCAAGCGUUGUUCGGAUUCACUGGGCGUAAAGGGUGCGUAGGUGGUGAGGUAAGUCGGAUGUGAAAGCUCGGAGCUCAACUCCGAAAUGGCAUUGGAAACUACCUUGCUCGAGGGUUGGAGGGGGGACUGGAAUGCUUGGUGUAGCAGUGAAAUGCGUAGAUAUCAAGCGGAACACCAGUGGCGAAGGCGAGUCCCUGGACAACUCCUGACACUGAGGCACGAAAGCUAGGGGAGCAAACAGGAUUAGAUACCCCCGUAGUCC